rnacentral:rRNA from 1 species
AGUGAACGCUGGCGGUAGGCCUAACACAUGCAAGUCGAACGGCAGCACAGUAAGAGCUUGCUCUUACGGGUGGCGAGUGGCGGACGGGUGAGGAAUACAUCGGAAUCUACUUUUUCGUGGGGGAUAACGUAGGGAAACUUACGCUAAUACCGCAUACGACCCACGGGUGAAAGCAGGGGAUCUUCGGACCUUGCGCGAUUGAAUGAGCCGAUGUCGGAUUAGCUAGUUGGCGGGGUAAAAGCCCACCAAGGCGACGAUCCGUAGCUGGUCUGAGAGGAUGAUCAGCCACACUGGAACUGAGACACGGUCCAGACUCCUACGGGAGGCAGCAGUGGGGAAUAUUGGACAAUGGGCGCAAGCCUGAUCCAGCCAUACCGCGUGGGUGAAGAAGGCCUUCGGGUUGUAAAGCCCUUUUGUUGGGAAAGAAAAGCAGCAGGUUAAUACCCCGCUGUUCUGACGGUACCCAAAGAAUAAGCACCGGCUAACUUCGUG